rnacentral:rRNA from 1 species
GUACUUGGACGUAGCUGAUGCAGCAACGCCGCGUGAGUGAUGAGGCCUUCGGGUUGUAAAGCUCUUUCAUUAGGGACGAUUAUGACGGUACCCGAUGAAUAAGCCUCGGCUAACUCCGUGCCAGCAGCCGCGGUAAUACUUGGUGCCGGCAUACGGGGUAUUAA